UACGAAGGGGGCGAGCGUUGUUCGGAAUCACUGGGCGUAAAGGGCGCGUAGGCGGCUUUAUAAGUCGGGGGUGAAAGCCUGUGGCUCAACCACAGAAUUGCCUUCGAUACUGUAUGGCUUGAGACCGGAAGAGGUAAGUGGAACUGCGAGUGUAGAGGUGAAAUUCGUAGAUAUUCGCAAGAACACCAGUGGCGAAGGCGGCUUACUGGUCCGGUUCUGACGCUGAGGCGCGAAAGCGUGGGGAGCAAACAGG
rnacentral:rRNA from 1 species